GACGGAGGGUGCGAGCGUUGUUCGGAAUCAUUGGGCGUAAAGCGAGCGUAGGCGGCCUCGCAAGUCGGGUGUGAAAUCCCGGGGCUCAACCCCGGACUUGCGCUCGAAACUGCAAGGCUUGAGUACGAAAGAGGGUCGUGGAAUUGUCGGUGUAGAGGUGAAAUUCGUAGAUAUCGGCAAGAACACCAGCGGCGAAGGCGGCGACCUGGUUCGAUACUGACGCUGAUGCUCGAAAGCGUGGGGAGCAAACAGG
rnacentral:misc_RNA from 1 species